GACGAACGCUGGCGGCGUGCCUAAUACAUGCAAGUAGAACGCUGAAGGAGGAGCUUGCUCUUCUGGAUGAGUUGCGAACGGGUGAGUAACGCGUAGGUAACCUGCCUGGUAGCGGGGGAUAACUAUUGGAAACGAUAGCUAAUACCGCAUAAGAGUAGAUGUUGCAUGACAUUUACUUAAAAGGUGCAAUUGCAUCACUACCAGAUGGACCUGCGUUGUAUUAGCUAGUUGGUGGGGUAACGGCUUAUCAAGGCGACGAUACAUAACCGACCUGAGAGGGUGAUCGGCCACACUGGGACUGAGACACGGCCCAGACUCCUACGGGAGGCAGCAGUAGGGAAUCUUCGGCAAUGGACGGAAGUCUGACCGAGCAACGCCGCGUGAGUGAAGAAGGUUUUCGGAUCGUAAAGCUCUGUUGUAAGAGAAGAACGAGUGUGAGAGUGGAAAGUUCACACUGUGACGGUAUCUUACCAGAAAGGGACGGCUAACUACGUG
rnacentral:rRNA from 1 species